GGGCCUGUAGCUCAGUCGGUUAGAGCAGAGGACUCAUAAUCCUUUGGUCCAGGGUUCGAACCCCUGCGGGCCCACCA
rnacentral:tRNA from 1 species